rnacentral:rRNA from 1 species
AUGAGCAGAGGAAUCAGAUAUCCAUUUCCAGAUUUGCACAAAACUGGAGAUGAAGAAUUAAAUUGGUUGUACUUCUACAGUUUCAUAGUUGCAAUUUUUGUUUUUGAGGUUUCUUUCAUAACAUUCGCAUGGUUCUUUGUCUUGAGAAGAGAGAUGAGGCCAUCAGAAAUGUGGGCUGCUGAGGAAGGUUACAGGAUGAUGACUAGCCAUUUUCGAAGAUACAGUUACAGAGAGCUUGUUGAGGCAACAAGAAAGUUCAGAGUUGAGCUAGGAAGGGGAAGCUCAGGCACUGUGUAUAAAGGUGUCCUAGAAGAUGAAAGGCCAGUGGCUGUGAAGAAGCUGGAAAAUGUAAGUCGAGGCAAGGAAGAGUUUCAAGCUGAGCUGAGCGUAAUUGGGAGGAUCUACCACAUGAAUUUGGCCAGAAUAUGGGGGUUUUGCUCAGAAGGAUCACACAGGCUGUUGGUUUGUGAGUACGUGGAGAACGGAUCCCUGGCAAACAUUUUGUUCAAUGACCAAAAAACUGUCGUGUUGGACUGGAAGCAAAGGUUUAAUAUCGCAUUGGGUGUCGCGAAAGGAUUGGCCUAUCUUCACCAUGAGUGCUUAGAAUGGGUCAUCCAUUGUGGUGUGAAACCUGAGAAUAUAUUGUUGGACACAAACUUUGAGCCUAAGAUCACUGACUUUGGGUUGGCAAAGUUGCUAAACAGAGGCGGAGCCACACAGAACUUGUCGCAGGUGCGAGGAACGAUAGGUUACAUAGCUCCUGAGUGGGUUUCAAGCCUCCCAAUCACGGCGAAAGUCGAUGUUUAUAGUUACGGAGUUGUUUUGCUUGAGCUUUUAUCUGGGACAAGAGUUUCAGAGAUGGCUGUAGGUUCAGGUGCAGAGGUGCAUAGCAUGCUGCAGAAGCUUGUCAGGGUGCUUGCUGAUAAACUGGGAGGACAUGAAGAAUCAUCGAUUAAUGAAUUUGUUGACCCUGAAUUGGGUGGACGAUUCAGCUAUGUCCAAGCAAGAACAAUGAUCAAGUUGGCUGUUUCCUGCUUGCAGGAAGAUAGAAACAAGAGGCCAACCAUGGAAUCUGUAGUCCAGACACUCCUGCCGUUUGACGAAGCUAGUAGUUAG